rnacentral:rRNA from 1 species
UACGUAGGGGGCCUAGCGUUGUCCCGGGAAUUAUUGGGCGUAAAGAGCUCGUAGGCGGUUCGGCAAGUCGGAUGUGAAAUCUCCACGCUUAACGUGGAGGGGCCAUUCGAAACUGCUGUGACUCGAGUCCGGUAGGGGAGUGUGGAAUUCCCGGUGUAGCGGUGAAUGCGCAGAUAUCGGGAGGACACCAGUAGCGAAGGCGGCACUCGUGGGCCGGUACUGGACGCUGAGGAGCGAAGCG